UAGCAUCACAAAUAACUGGUUACGAACACACACAAACAUGAAAUACCGACUUUCACGAAAUCGACUCAAGAAUUAGCAAACCAAAUAAAAAAGAUUCAAAACCCACACCUGAUUCACGAUCAAUGACGUCUAGACACCGACUCGACGACAAGGGAGCAAAGCUCUCCAAAAUCCGCAAGCAAAACUGCUUCCCAAAAAAAGAAAAAGAAAAAGAAAAAAAAAGCAAACAAAGGAGAGGGAGAGGGAGAAAGUGAAAAAAAAGAGCAAUAAAAACUAGAAAACAAAAUUAAUAAAAUAACACUAAAUAAAGGAAAUAAUUAUCCAAAAUUUUAAAACCAAAACAAAAAUAAUCCCUCAAAACACUCCUGGUGACUCGAACCCAGAACCUCAAACUAAACUAAUGCACAACUAACCAC
rnacentral:lncRNA from 1 species